UAAUUAUAUUUUUGUAAUAAAAAAAGGAGGAUUUUAUGGUUUGGAUCCUAAUUGAUAUUUUCUCUCACCAUAGAGUACAAUUGUCGGCACUAUUAUAGUAUUGGGGUUAAAGCCUAAAUAGUUUAGUAUUUAGUGUUGUACAGUAUUUAAAUACUUCUAGUAGGUGAUUACCUAUUAUUUAGGGGAGAACGUGGAUCAGUUAUAUUAGACUAGGAUUAUAUUAUAAGAGAUCGAAUAUUUAGAGCAGGCAUUGGGAGAGCCGCAGCAGCCGUGUAAGGGUUCUCGAGGCGUCCUUUGAUAAUCUUGCUUUCAAUCUCAGUUGCGGUUAAUUAGCAUCUUUUCGCAUAUUUGAUCGAGUUGCGUUACCUUUGGACCCAGGUGAGUAGUUAAGUAUGUUACGUAUUUUCGAAAGUUUUCUGUGUCCCUUAAAAGUAUUUCUUUCAGAAAUUUAUAUGUAUGUUAUUCGGAGACUCAAAACUGUUUAUAAAUUAUUCUAUAAAUUGGCAUGCGGUGAAUUUUCUGAGAUCAAUUGUUAAUGUUCUUUUUGGUGAGAACUUGGUGGAUAUUAAUGGGAACAUUUAUUUUGGAAGUCCAGGGAACUUAUUCCUUCUCGUGUUGGUAACCUUGGCCAUUGGGGAAAAGACCGUGUUAGGCCGGUGACCUUAAUGCUCAACGGCUUUCUUUCGCCGGAUCGUCUUAGGGAAAAGUACCACGGGCUGCCAACCCUGGUGACUCUAAGUUCGAUAUUGGAUCCAAUUUUGAUGAGAUUUAUUUUGCCCAUGGUACUAUUUGAUUGUGGUUCCCCAUUGUUGAUGGAGUUAUUGUUGUGAUCACCACUAAGAAUAUUUAUUUGGUUAAAUGCUUCAUUGAUUAAUUUAUUAUUCUAUUGGACACCUCGUAUGCCAAAUUAUGAUUUAAUGGUAAAUUAUUUUAAUCCUCGCUUUCAACUUUAUUUAUUAUACAUACUUGCCAUUCACUGAGCUUGUCAGCUGACGGAUUUACUCCAACUUCUCUUUCAGGCAAGUUGGGGAGUUAGAGAAAGACUCUGGUGGCAUCUCGGGGAUUUCUUUUGUCGACCUCCUUAGGGUGUCUCAUUCUAGUUUUAUUUUAAAAAUCGCUUCCGCAUUUGAAACAAUUGUCAGAUAACAAAUUCUUUUAAUUAUUGUUGGAUUAUUGGAUAUUGCGUGGUUCAUGGGAUGGUUGUGCCCCAUGUUUAUGAUGAGACAUAUUUGGCUUUUGAUUUGAUUAAUAAUGAAAAAGCGAUCAUUUGAUU